GUGCUCUCUACUGCUAAUUCUCCUGGAGGGUCACUGCCUUCCACUGAUGUCCUAUGGAUUCUCUUAGGAAAAGUCCCAAAGUCAAGCUAUCCUCACUUCAUACAGAGGUCUUUGUCUCUUUCUCUCAAAGCCCCCCUCUGACUUCUAGCCUUAUCCAUAGAACACAUAGUGUAUCGUUUCGCUGAAGAGCAGAGAGGGGGCCAAUGUAUUGUCUCCCAGGAUCCUCUGCUUUCCACCAGAUGUCCUGCAUAGCCUCAGGUGAUUCGAGGGCAAAAUAGGACUUGAAAAAAGAAAGUCUGAAGGUUGUCACUUUUGUCUCCUCUUAAAUAUAUAAAUGACUUCCUAGAGAUUUUUUUUGAAUACUGGUCAUUGUAAGUAAAAUAGAGGAAAGAGCUUGAGACAUUGAAUUGUUUGUGCUGAAGGACUUCUCUGCUCUGUAACAGAGGAGGUAAUUCAUGGUGUGGAGUUCACCAAAGAGCAUCUAAAAUCAAGAAACCUGUUCAGAUCUUGAGGUAAAUAAUGUUUGACCAGAAUUUUCAUGUAGUUAACAAAACCUUUCAAUCUUACAAUCUCUUUUAGUAGAGACCAGAACUCUCCAAUAGAACUUUAUGCUGUUGUUUUACAUUUAAAUUUAAAAAUUCAAUAAUUAAAUAAAAUUAUUGAAAAUUCUAUUUUGUUAUUGCCCAAGUCACUUGUGCUCAUUAGCCACCUGUGGCUAGUGGCUAUGGUAUUGGACAGCGUAAGUCUAGAUAGCAACCCUGUGAUGUGGGGGGCAUUACUGUACUCAUUUGGUUAACUAAUCCAAGUAUUGAUGUAGGUUAGUGAUCACAGACUCAAGGGGCUCCAGUAGGCAGGCAGAGAAAGAGAAUGCGUGGUGUAGGCCAUGGUGUGUUAGAAAUGGUGGUACUGGUCAGAUUGUAGGGAUUAUGCCUUGUCUUAACAAGGAGCUGUUCCUUGGCUAUCACCAAUUGUUGCCAUUUGCAAAGUAGACCCAAAGGUGCAAUAUCUUCCCUUUUCUUUGUUUGCUUUUUCCUUUAAAAAGUCAAUAUUAUGUAAAUUUAAAAAAACAGCGACAAUCAAAAACCAAAAACCUAACUAUGAAGCCCGCUGUAACCCAUGAUUCACCAAAGCUCAAAUUUUGCAGAUGUAUCAAAUCACUGCAUUUAAAACAGCUUCUUUGGAAUCAGCUUUCAUGGACAAAGGGAAUUAAAGGAAUGUCUGCUGUUGGAGGCCAAACCCUGGUUCUGAAUUUCCAGAAAUGGGCAAACUAAAUAAAAGAGAUUGUGAUAAGGGAAAAAACAAAACAAUAGAACAAAAUAAAACAAAAGUUGCUUUAAAAAAAAAAAAAGGUCAAAGUCGAGAAGUUUUCAAUUUAUGCACCGGAUAUUCAAGUCAUGCAAAUAUGAAGAAGCUCUAAUUAGUGGCAAUAAUUUCCCCCAGUGACCUCACCUCUUACCAUGUCAGUUUUUCAUAGUUAUGCUGUACCUUACCCACAGGUCAGGAAGAGGAAAAAUUAUUUCUCUGCUCCAGGGCACAGUUGUUAGUUGGUUCCCAAA
rnacentral:lncRNA from 1 species